GAGCUCAGUCCGAAGAGCAUGAGACUCUUUAUCUCAAGGUAAUGCGUUCGAGCCCCACGUUGGGCA